AUGCACGCUGGCGGCGUGCUUAACACAUGCAAGUCGAACGGAAAGGCCCAAGCUUGCUUGGGUACUCGAGUGGCGAACGGGUGAGUAACACGUGGGUGAUCUGCCCUGCACUUCGGGAUAAGCCUGGGAAACUGGGUCUAAUACUGGAUAGGACCACUUCUUGGAUGGUGUGGUGGAAAGUUUUUUCGGUGUGGGAUGAGCUCGCGGCCUAUCAGCUUGUUGGUGGGGUAAUGGCCUACCAAGGCGUCGACGGGUAGCCGGCCUGAGAGGGUGUACGGCCACAUUGGGACUGAGAUACGGCCCAGACUCCGACGGGAGGCAGCAGUGGGGAAUAUUGCACAAUGGGCGCAAGCCUGAUGCAGCGACGCCGCGUGGGGGAUGACGGCCUUCGGGUUGUAAACUCCUUUCGCUAGGGACGAAGCGUUUUUGUGACGGUACCUGGAGAAGAAGCACCGGCUAACUACGUG
rnacentral:rRNA from 1 species